UACGUAGGCAGCGAGCGUUGUUCGGAGUUACUGGGCGUAAAGGGUGUGUAGGCGGUUGUUUAAGUUUGGUGUGAAAUCUCCCGGCUCAACUGGGAGGGUGCGCCGAAUACUGAAUGACUUGGAGUGCGGGAGAGGAGAGUGGGAUUCCUGGUGUAGCGGUGAAAUGCGUAGAUAUCAGGAGGAACACCGGUGGUGUAGACGGCUCUCUGGACCGUAACUGACGCUGAGACACGAAAGCGUGGGUAGCAAACAGG
rnacentral:rRNA from 1 species